rnacentral:rRNA from 1 species
GAGGAAUAUUGGUCAAUGGACGAGAGUCUGAACCAGCCAAGUAGCGUGAAGGAUGAAGGUUCUAUGGAUUGUAAACUUCUUUUAUACGGGAAUAAACGAAUCCACGCGUGGAUUUUUGCAUGUACCGUAUGAAUAAGGAUCGGCUAACUCCGUGCCAGCAGCCGCGGUAAUACGGAGGAUCCGAGCGUUAUCCGGAUUUAUUGGGUUUAAAGGGAGCGUAGAUGGGUUGUUAAGUCAGUUGUGAAAGUUUGCGGCUCAACCGUAAAAUUGCAAUUGAUACUGGCAGUCUUGAGUACAGUUGAGGUAGGCGGAAUUCGUGGUGUAGCGGUGAAAUGCUUAGAUAUCACGAAGAACUCCGAUUGCGAAGGCAGCUUACUAACCUGUAACUGACAUUGAUGCUCGAAAGUGUGGGUAUCAAACAGGAUUAGAUACCCUGGUAGUCCACACGGUAAACGAUGAAUACUCGCUGUAGGCGAUAUACGGUCUGCGGCCAAGCGAAAGCAUUAAGUAUUCCACCUGGGGAGUACGCCGGCAACGGUGAAACUCAAAGGAAUUGACGGGGGCCCGCACAAGCGGAGGAACAUGUGGUUUAAUUCGAUGAUACGCGAGGAACCUUACCCGGGCUUAAAUUGCAACCGAAUAUGGCGGAAACGCCAUAGCUAGCAAUAGCGGUUGUGAAGGUGCUGCAUGGUUGUCGUCAGCUCGUGCCGUGAGGUGUCGGCUUAAGUGCCAUAACGAGCGCAACCCUUAUCGAUAGUUACCAUCAGGUUAUGCUGGGGACUCUGUCGAGACUGCCGUCGUAAGAUGUGAGGAAGGUGGGGAUGACGUCAAAUCAGCACGGCCCUUACGUCCGGGGCUACACACGUGUUACAAUGGGGGGUACAGAAGGCAGCUACACGGCGACGUGAUGCUAAUCCCGAAAGCCUCUCUCAGUUCGGAUUGGAGUCUGCAACCCGACUCCAUGAAGCUGGAUUCGCUAGUAAUCGCGCAUCAGCCACGGCGCGGUGAAUACGUUCCCG